rnacentral:sRNA from 1 species
UAAAAAGGCAACUUCAGACAUUAUAGUC